rnacentral:rRNA from 1 species
AUUGAACGCUGGCGGCAGGCCUAACACAUGCAAGUCGAACGUGUGGCGGACGUGUGGGUAAUGUCUGGGAAAGUGCACGAGGGAGGGGGAUAACUACUGGAAACGGUAGCUAAUACCGCAUAGCAUCGGAUGUGCCCAGGUGGGAUUAGCUAGUAGGUGGGGUAACGGCUCACCUAGGCGACGAUCCCUCGCUGGGCUGAGAGGAUGACCAGUCACCAGGGAAUCGAGAAACGGUCCAGACGCCUACGGGAGGCAGCAGGGGCGAAUAUUGGAAAAUGGGCGCAAGCCUGACGGAGCCAUGCCGCGUGUAUGAAGAAGGCCUUCGGGUUGCAAAGUACUUUCAGCGAGGCGGCGCUACCCGCAGAAGAAGCACCGGCUAACUCCGUGCCAGCAGCCGCGGUAAUAC